AUGUGGCUGAUUUUCCUGGGCUCCAGCUGCACUCCUUUCUAGUUUCACUGGUGUUACCUGUGGGUCAGAAGAGGAAGCCAUAUGCAUCAAGGCAUGCCUGUGACCUGUUGAGAGACGGACCCCACACAUAUGGGUCCCCUCUGCACAGAUUGUCGGAGGCAUGAUUUAGGUUUUUGGAAGAUGCUGAUGGUGGCAUAAAUCUGACCAGACAGGGAGGUUGCCGUGGAACUGGAAGUACACUCAGCCGAAUGUCACAAGAAACACUCAGGAAUGAACAGGGGGUAGCCUGACAUCAGAGUUGUUUAUAAAAGGCAUGAAAAAGAGCUCUCAAUCUGUAGUCUCUUAGCUGUCUACCGCUGGAGGAAGAACUAUCCAAACCAAGACAGAUUUUGCUACCCUGAUGAAUCAGACCUGCCACUCAAACAUAGGGUUAAAUGAUAUUAGCACAAUGGCAACCACUCAGGUACUUCAAACUGCAUCUUAUCUACAGAUAAAAGAAAUGAAAGAUAGCAUUUAGUCUUUUUCAUGAGCAUCUCGUGCUUUGGCAGAUUCACAUCUGUUUCUACUUCCUGGGUAGGUGUAGGUGCACUGUUUUAUUUCCCCUCCAGGGAGUCUGUCCUCUAAAGCUGUGAUGUGGGCCCUGAACCUACACUGCUAAAUGGCUACUUUGAAGGUGGGCAUCAUCAUUAACCACAGAAAACUUCAUAUUCUGGCACUUGGCAGGCUGAACCAAGGCUUGGACCCCUUGUCUAGUUAAAGAUAAUUUCUAAUGUAUAAAACUGUUUUUAGGUAUUAAAAACUUAAAAAAGUAAAGCAUCUCCUGAUUUCAAGGAAUCUGUGUUAUAUGUGUAUAAACUUGAGUAUCUAGAUUUGUAUUAUCCAUUAUGGCAGCCAGCAGCCACAUAUAAUUUUAAAUCUGAAUUCAUUAAAAAGAAGUAAAACCAAACACAUACAAUUCUCUGGUCACUAGAUUCAUUUCAGUGCUCCAUAGCCCCUACUGUACACAACUAUGCAGGCACAGAACAUUACAUUUCCAUCAGCUCAGUAAGCUCUGGAGAACAAAACUGGGAUAGAAGCACUGUGGAGGUUUUUAUUCUGGUUCCUUAAGCAAAACCUUUGAGAAGAGUGUCUCCAUGCUGCUGUUUCCAUUAGUCACCUCACCAAGGUGAGGGGGAAGAGAGGUUCCUCCUUCUUCAUGGUCAUCCCGUCCAAAUUGCUCAGUAAGGACAUAAACAUUGACCGCGUUGGCAUCGUGAUAGAUGUCUCUGUCUCCAGGUAAAUGCACAGUCCAGUGGCACCUGCUCUAGUCAGAUCAGCUCACAUGAGCUUCAGAAAGCACUAUUUUCAAAAAUUGAAAUAAGGGAAAAUUGGCUUAUCAAUUAGCCUCGUACAAUCUAUUCACAGGUACUGUUUCUUACACCUGUAGUGUUAGAAAAGAGGACUGAUAUUUUUAAGUAAACGGCUGUAAACUUGGUUUUCAUUUUUUGUAGUUAUGGAAAGUCUGUCUUCAUAGUCAACUUUUUUACUUCUUUCCUGGUUCCUUCAUCAAAAUGUGAGGUUUUUGUAGCAUUAAGGCAAUGUUUAAAUGAGAACACUUAUUCAAGAGACUAAAACAUUGCUUAGUAGCUUAACUGCAAAGAAAUGGGAAAGGUACAAUGAGUGUAAAU
ensembl:lncRNA